rnacentral:rRNA from 1 species
UUGGAGGGCAAGUCUGGUGCCAGCAGCCGCGGUAAUUCCAGCUCCAAUAGCGUAUAUUAAAGUUGUUGCAGUUAAAAAGCUCGUAGUUGAAUUUCGGGAUCAAUUUGCUGGUCGAGACCUCUGGUACGUACUGGUAUUAUUGAUUUCUUUCAUUCUGAUAGAUCAUUGAUGUCAUUAAUUUGAUGACUUUGAGGAAUCGGAACUUUUACUUUGAAAAAAUUAGAGUGUUUAAAGCAGGCUUAUUAGGCUUGAAUACAUUAGCAUGGAAUAAUGAAAUAGGACGAUUGAUCCUAUUUUUGUUGGUUUCUAGGAUUGACGUAAUGAUUAAUAGGGAUAGUUGGGGGCAUUAGUAUUCAAUUGUCAGAGGUGAAAUUCUUGGAUUUAUUGAAGACUAACUACUGCGAAAGCAUUUGCCAAGGAUGCUUUCAUUAAUCAAGAACGAAAGUUAGGGGGAUCGGAGACGAUCAGAUACCGUCGUAGUCUUAACCAUAAACUAUGCCGACUAGGGAUCGGAUGAUGUUAAUUCUUUUUAAUGACUCAUUCGGCGCCUUACGGGAAACCAAAGUGUUUGGGUUC